GCCAGUUUGGUGUAGUGGUUUGAGUGCUAGACUACUACUCUGGAGACCUAGGGUUCGAUUCCCAGUUUGGCC